rnacentral:rRNA from 1 species
UACGUAGGGGGCUAGCGUUGUCCGGAAUCAUUGGGCGUAAAGAGCGCGUAGGCGGCCAGAUAAGUCCGGUGUGAAAGUCAAAGGCUCAACCUUUGAAUGCCGCUGGAAACUGUCUGGCUAGAGUCCGGGAGGGGACCAUGGAAUUCCUGGUGUAGCGGUGAAAUGCAUUGAGAUCGGAAAGAACACCAACGGCGAAAGCACUCUGCUGGGCCGACACUGACACUGGAGAGACGAAAGCUAGGGGAGCAAAUGGG